CCUACGGGAGGCAGCAGUGGGGAAUUUUGCGCAAUGCUCGUAAGAGUGACGCAGCGACGCCGCGUGAAUGACGAAUGCCCUCGGGUCGUAAAGUUCUUUCGACAGGGAAGAAAAUGCCUAUAAGUAACUGUGUAUGUAUUGACGGUACCUGUAUAAGCAGCCCCGGCUAACUCCGUGCCAGCAGCCGCGGUAAUACGGAGGGGGCGAGCGUUGUUCGGAGGGACUGGGCGUAAAGAGCACGUAGGCGGUGUUGUAAGUCAUUAGUCAAAGACUAGAGCUCAACUUUAGUAAGGCUAGUGAUACUAUAAUACUAGAGUAUCAGAGAGGAGUGCAGAAUUCCUGGUGUAGCGGUGAAAUGCGUAGAUAUCAGGAGGAAUACCGUUAGCGAAGGCGGCAAUCUGGCUGGAAACUGACGCUGAGGUGCGAAAGCGUGGGUAGCAAACAGGAUUAGAUACCCGGGUAGUC
rnacentral:rRNA from 1 species